CCUACGGGAGGCAGCAGUAGGGAAUUUUCCACAAUGGGCGAAAGCCUGAUGGAGCAAUACCGCGUGCAGGAUGAAGGCCUUCGGGUCGUAAACUGCUUUUAUGUGCGAAGAAUUUGACGGUAACACAUGAAUAAGGAUCGGCUAACUACGUGCCAGCAGCCGCGGUCAUACGUAGGAUCCAAGCGUUAUCCGGAAUUACUGGGCGUAAAGAGUUGCGUAGGUGGCAUUAUAAGUGGAGCGUGAAAGCGUGCGGCUCAACCGCAUUAUUGCGUUCCAAACUGUGAAGCUUGAGUAUGGGAGAGGUAGAUGGAAUUUCUAGUGUAGGAGUGAAAUCCGUAGAUAUUAGAAGGAACACCGAUGGCGUAGGCAGUCUACUGGCCCAUUACUGACACUAAGGCACGAAAGCGUGGGGAGCAAACGGGGAUUAGAUACCCCGGUAGUCCACGCUGUAAACUAUGGAUGCUAGCUGUGACACACAUUCGGCCUGUGUCCGUAAGCAAGUUAACGCGUUAAGCAUCCGCCGNGGAGGUACGGUCGCGAAGAGUAAACUACAANAGAAGUAGACGACGUGAGACGUGCGACGACGACGACGAGGGAGAGG
rnacentral:rRNA from 1 species